rnacentral:lncRNA from 1 species
GCCUAUGAUGCUAUUUGAGGCCUGAUGACUAUUCCAAUCAAGAGAACAAUAACCAGCUGUCUACUCCCUCAAUGUAUUUCCAUUUGUAGCAAUUUAACCAAUUGUAUCUCAACUCUAGAAUUAAAAUUGGGGAGCCAAACUUGAUUACCUGAUGCUCAAAAGGUGCUUGAUGAAAUUCCCAUUCACUGCUCCAAUUUUAACUAUGAUAUACUAUGUACCAAGAACCUGUUGCUUCUACGAUCCCUCUACCAAUUUGAUUUAAGUAGCAGUGAUAAGGAUUCUUGUGAUGCUUAUCAGGUUUGAUUCCUUAUUAACCAAUUCUUGCACACAUACAACAAAGAUUUCUACAAUACCUGAUGUUGCAAUCUGAUACCACUUUGUUACCGCAGUGGUAAUGUCUCCAGUCACUGUUGCAAUCCUUCCAAUUCAGAUUUGAUGCUACCGCUUGAGUUCUUGCUCCAGGUACUACACGAGAUCCCUUAGCGCUCCAUUCUUGUGAUACCCCACCAUGAUGCAAGUAUCAGUUUCAUCCCUUUCCUGGGAUCGAAACUGCUCUGAUACCAAUUGUUAUGGCUCAGCUUGUUUAGCUUCUAAUAUUGGUGAGCAUCCAGAGAUGGAAUUGUCGCAGGUUAAAUUCCACCCCGAUCUGAGCCAAGUAAUCUCAACGGAGAUCCAAUCGAAGAUGCAACACUCGAUAAGAAUGCUUAUCGAAGAUGAUGGCGUCGAUGAAGAACGGAUCGCUGAUACACAUAGAUCAAGCNGGUGAGCAUCCAGAGAUGGAAUUGUCGCAGGUUAAAUUCCACCCCGAUCUGAGCCAAGUAAUCUCAACGGAGAUCCAAUCGAAGAUGCAACACUCGAUAAGAAUGCUUAUCGAAGAUGAUGGCGUCGAUGAAGAACGGAUCGCUGAUACACAUAGAUCAAGCUGUAGAUCUGAUACAAGCUCUGAUGCUCAAAGGAUCCGCCUCGUAAUUGAGAUCUCUGAAGAAGGGAAUUGAGAAUUUAGGGUUUGAGAGUAGAUGAGAGUAGUAGAGGGAGAGAGGAGGUAGAAAAUGAUCGGAAUGUAGAGAGAGAUCAGAUUGGGAGGGAUAAGAGAGAG